UAUCACCAAACCUGCUGCCAGGUAGUCCUUAGGCACUUCCUGCAAGUGCAUGCUGGGUAGCCCUUAGGAACUUCCUGCAAGUGCAUGCUGGGUAGCCCUUAGGAACUUCCUGCAAGUGCAUGCUGGGUAGCCCUUAGGAACUUCCUGCAAGUGCAUGCAGGGUAGCCCUUAUGAACUUCCCGCAAGUGCAUGCUGGGUACCACCUGGCGUCCCUCUUUUCGGAAAUGCACCCCUCCCCCUUUCCUUUACAUUACAGCUUUUCUUUAUUACUCUGUAAACUAAGCAGGAACUGGACACUUAACUACCCGCUGGGCCUCCAUCCCCACUGUCUCCCUUACUGAGCCUUUCACAAGAAACAGGGAACCGGAAGCAAAUCAUAAAUCCAGAGCUCCAAGUUUCAGGACAGCUAAACCAGCAAGGCCAAGGAGAGGACCCAGACUUAGAGACGAUACAGUUCUUCUAUCUUACAAAGCGAGGGAGGAAGGAGCCAUGAACCUGUUCAAUAAACUGACCAGAGAGGGCUCUCACGCUCAAACAAUGUGCCUCAGACAGGAGCAGCUUCUGAGCUAUCUAAAGCAGCCCUUGAAUUCCCAGCUUCUGAAGUAUUUCUGCAAUGUGGGUAUGGCCGCAAGAAAUCUCUAUUCUGAGUU